rnacentral:tmRNA from 1 species
UCUGGCUUCGACGUGGAUUGCGAAACCUUAAGGGCAUGCCGAGGUGCAACCUCCCUCGUAAAACUUGUUGCAAACUUAUAGUUGCAAACGACGACAACUACGCGUUAGCUGCCUAAACCAGCUGACCCUUCAAUAGCUCGGAGCUUACGCUGACUAGCGAAGGUAACCUUUAGUAAGAUCGCGGUGUUUAUUGGUCUGGGGUAAAUAUCGUUAAAACUUUACUGGAAUCGCCCUGCGUUUUCCCCGCUCAUCGGGUAGCGUAGGGUUAAAUCAAUAGGUGAGAUAAGCAUGUAGAACUUAAGGCAGAGGAUUUGCGGACGCGGGUUCAAUUCCCG